CCCUGUCCUUCCUGGAAACGGUGGUCUAGACUGUGCUCUAACCCAGGUGGAUCUUUUUCAGAGACUUCACCUGCCGACUUCUGGGAGUGCCCCAUCCGGCAAGCAUCCACACAGCGGCGGAGCUGCGGUCUCAGACGUCAGCGGAAGCCGACCCACGGGAGCGUGAGGAGGGCCAGAUGAAUAGAUGCUGGCAGCAGCAGCAGUAGGGGACGGCAGGCUGAAUUCCAAACCUCCAGUUGGCUCGGCUUCUCCCAGACUAUUGGAGGAAUGAAGGCUGCAGUGAGAGAAGACCUUCGCUCCAGAUCAUGCGGCAAGAGAUGGACCAAGAAACCGGCAGUGCCCCCUCCAGCCGAGGGUCCAGGAGAUGAGGAAAAGCACCAGAGCAGCAAGGAAGAGGCCUGACUGUACCGACCACCCCGGCACCCACCAAACCCGAACCUGAACCGAGCCGGCCAGGGAGAUAAGGGUGGCCGCCGUGACCGGCAGAAUGGAAUCCCCAAGACAGGCUGGAAUCCACUGGGUCACUUUUCAUCCCCUGGCGUAAACAUGGAGUUGCCUUGUAGAUCCCUCCUGGAGGGAUUCUGUUCCGAGAGCUGCACCAGCGAGGGAGAAGUGAUCGGGGGUCAAGCCGACAAGUGGAGACCGGGACGCCCUGAGAGAAGAUGGGAGUUGACCUGUCCAUCGGGAAAAAAUAAGUAUCUAUUCGUAGACUAACCAAAAAAACACUUGGAAAUGGUCAUUUACUGCUCGUGUCAGAUGAUUCGAACUCUGAUAGGUCUCCAUUUCUC